GAUCUCUCUCCUGCCUACUUUUUGCUUCAUUCUACAUCUCAGAGAACCAGGUGAGUGUGAUCUGAUGCCCUCUUCUUGCAACUGCUCUGAUAUAUGAGGUUCUGUGUUCGUGAUUUUACUCUCUUUUCUUCCCUUUCCCCAUUAAUGUUCUCCAUGUUGUCCAUAAGAGAGAAUUUAGCUCGGAAUGUCCCAGGUGUUCCCCUGCUGUAUACCAUCUCUGAAACUCUGCCUGUCAAUGUAAAACAAUACUGAGAUGGAGGGACCAGCUGUCUGAUGCCAUAUGCAGCAGCUUUCUAUGUUAUUAUUUAAAAUCACCUUUUUAUUUGGAAUGCUGAGGACUAGUAUCUCACUUUACUUUUAGGGGAAGGGCAGUAGCUCAGUCACAAGUUGAAUUCCUUGCAUCUCCAAGUAGGGCUAUCAUUGCAAGACAGUAGUGAGCUGGAUGGACCAAUGUUCUGAUCCAACAUAUGGCAAUUUUGAAUGUUAUUAUGUCCAUUGUACAAAACAUUUCCUCCACUACUGAGCUUCUACUGAUCUAUAUAGUCUACAUACUGUGGUAUAUUACUUGGAAUCAGAUGUUUGGAGUUGUAACCAACUAAGUUCUACUUACAGUAGUUGGCAAAUUACAAUUAAUGGACCUAAAAAGGAAGGGUCACAGCUCAGUGGUAGAUCAUCUGGUUUAAAUGCAGAAGGUCCCAGGUCAAUCCUUCAAGAUUGGUAGGAUGGGGAAUGUCUCCAGUUUGAAUUCAUGGGGGGGGGGGAGCCCUGCCAGUCAGUGUAGACAUCACUGAGUUAAAUGUGCCAGUGGUCUGAUCCAGUAAAAUGCAGCUUCCUAUGCUCCUAUCCAUGACCAUUAAUUUGAGUGGGUCUCUUCUGAGUAGGACAAGCACUGAGUAUCAUCCAAUGAGCCUAAAUUACUCAUGCCCAUUCAUUGCAAAGGAGUAGGAUGUGUAUCGGAUACAAAUCUUCCUCCAUCUAGCACUAAACUGAGAGGCAGCAGAUCUCUACAAGGUCUUUCUCAGUCAGGCUGCUCAAGAUCAUCUUGCCUAGAGAUGCUUAGUACCAAAACUUUAAUGUACUUUAAAAAAAUGAUUGGACAAACGCAUGGAGGAGAAGGCUAUUGAGGGCUACCAGCCAUGAUAGCUCUGCUCUGCUUCUAUGGUUAGAAGCAGUAAUGAUUCUGAAUACUAGUUGCUGGAAAUCACAGGAAGGGAGAAUGCUCUAGAGCUCAGGUCCUUCUUGUGAGCUUUCCAUUGAGACAUCUAGUUGGUCACUGGAGGAACAGUAUGCUGGAAUAGAUGGGCCCUCUUUGGCCUGAUUCAGCAGGCUGUCCUUACGAAACUGAGGUCUUCUGAAUGCAAAAUAUGUGCUCUUAUAGACCUUUCCAAAUUUUUUGAUCUCCUUCCACCGAUUUCAAAUUUGCAAGAAAUUCCAGCUCCUUCCUGCUUCUUGCUUCUUGCUACGUACUUCUAAUUUACUGAUAUUGUGUUGCAUUUUCUUCUUCUCACCAGAUCUUCACCCGACACAUCAAGAUGACUCACUGUGGAUCUGUGUGCAAUGUGCCUUGUGGCGUGGGCUCCUGCUAUGGUGGUGCAGGAUCCGUAGGGUCUUGUGGUCUGGUCCCAGUCUAUGGGUCCGGCUCCCUCUCUGGCUUUGGUGGUGGGUUUGGCUACGGUGGUGGUUAUGGCUCCGUAGCUUGUAGCAGUCAGCUCCCAGGGUCAGAAGUUGUGAUCCAGCCCCCUCCCUCUGUCGUGUCCAUCCCAGGACCAAUCCUGUCUUCAUCUUCUGAGCCUGUUGCCGUGGGCCAAAUCUCACCAUGUAGCUAUCCAGCUCUGGGAUAUUCUGGUGGCUAUGGAGGAUACGGCAGGCUAGGAUAUGGUUCAGGGUAUAGCGGCUAUGGAGGUUGUGGAGGUUAUGGAGGCUACGGAGGUUAUGGAGGUUAUGGAGGUUAUGGAGGUUAUGGUGGUUAUGGUGGUUAUGGUGGCUGGAGAAGAUAUGGCAGGAAAUGCCUUCCUUCCAAUUGUGGACCUUGUUAAAUGCUGAAACUUGCAACGGAUUUACACGGAAACAGAAACAAGACACCGAACUACAACUCUGAGCAUGUUCUGCUGAGAUUUCAGAAAUGCUGCUCACCAGACUUUUUCCCCUUUCACCUCUGGAAGAAGAAAGCUAUACAGCAGCACUGAAUGAUCAAGCCUGGUUACAUUCUUAUCCUGUUUCUCCUUGAUCUGCUCGUCUUUAAUUCAAAAGUUUUAAAAGAAGUUUUUAAAAAGUCACCAUCUUCCUUCUCAACAGUGUUGGCAAUGCUACUGCAAACUACCUCUUUCAGUGGGUGUGGGGAAAGACACACACAUCCUGCAUAUUUUUUUCUGUGCAUGUUGUCGAUUGCCAUCUUAGGUGUAUAUUGUAUGUAACAAUCUCAUACUGUUCCUCCACUGCUUCUCUGCCCAUCUCUCUUUUGGAAUAAAGAUUAAUGUUGCAUCAUCA